rnacentral:rRNA from 1 species
GAAGUAAAAGUCGUAACAAGGUUUCCGUAGGUGAACCUGCGGAAGGAUCAUUAUUGAAUUUUGAAGGGGUUGUAGCUGAUCUUUUUUAAAAGAUAUGUGCACACCUCUAUCUACACACCCAUGUGCACUUUUUGUAGGCUUUAUUGCCUAUGUUUAUCAUAUAAACACACAUUUGUUACAAGAAUGUUAUUUAUGAAAUUUAAUAUACAACUUUCAACAACGGAUCUCUUGGCUCUCGCAUCGAUGAAGAACGCAGCGAAAUGCGAUAAGUAAUGUGAAUUGCAGAAUUCAGUGAAUCAUCGAAUCUUUGAACGCACCUUGCGCUCCUUGGUAUUCCGAGGAGCAUGCCUGUUUGAGUGUCAUUAAAUUAUCAACCUCUUCUAGAGGCUUGGAUUUGGAGUGUUGCUGGCUCAUUGUUGGCUCCUCUUAAAUGCAUCAAGCUUGUUGUAGGCUUUGGUUUGAUAAUAUCUAUGCCAUCGCUGUAAUGCAAAACAAACAACCUUUGAAAUUUGACCUCAAAUCAGGUAGGACUACCCGCUGAACUUAAGCAUAUCAAUAAGCGGAGGAAAAGAAACUAACAAGGAUU